rnacentral:rRNA from 1 species
CCUACGGGACGCAGCAGUAGGGAAUCUUCCACAAUGGACGAAAGUCUGAUGGAGCAACGCCGCGUGAGUGAAGAAGUCAUUCGUGAUGUAAAGCUCUAUCAGCAGGGAAGAAAAUGACGGUACCUGAGUAAGAAGCCCCGGCUAACUACGUGCCAGCAGCCGCGGUAAUACGUAGGGGGCAAGCGUUAUCCGGAUUUAUUGGGUUUAAAGGGUGCGUAGGCGGACAGUCAAGUCAGCGGUAAAAAUGCGGUGCUCAACGCCGUACAGCCGUUGAAACGGGCAGUCUUGAGUGGGCGAGAAGUAUG